AGGAUAAACGCUGGCGGCGUGCCUAACACAUGCAAGUCGAACGUCCUACGCAAGUAGGGAGUGGCGGACGGGUGAGUAACACGUGGGCAAUCUACCUUUCGGUGAGGAAUACCGGCGAGAAAUCGCCGACAAUACCGCAUACGCUUCGCAAGAAGCAAAGUCGCAAGACGCCGGAGGAGGAGCCUGCGCCCGAUUAGCUGGUUGGUGAGGUAAGAGCUCACCAAGGCGACGAUCGGUAGCUGGUCUGAGAGGAUGAUCAGCCACACUGGGAUUGAGAACGGCCCAGACUCCUACGGGGGGCAGCAGUGAGGAAUUUUCGUCAAUGGGGGAAACCCUGAACGAGCAACGCCGCGUGCAGGAUGACGCUUCUCGGAGUGUAAACUGCUUUUCGUCGGGGAAGAGAACGGACGGUACCCGAGGAAUCGAGCCCCGGCUAACUACGUGCCAGCAGCCGC
rnacentral:rRNA from 1 species